rnacentral:lncRNA from 1 species
AAGAGUGCAGCUUGGAGGAGAGUGUCUGCUGCUGAUGCAAAAGCAGUCAGGCACGGCUGACCUGCUGGGGCACGGCUCAUGUUCGGAGGCUUGAUCUCAGCAGUGGUUUUAAUGAAGAGAGAGAAUGCGGUCUAAUUUCAGGUCAUCAGUACAAGGGUUCCCCUGGCUCACGUCUGUGUCGGAAAGAGGAGUUUCGUGAGCCAAGGCAUCGUUGCCUUCUCUCUUGCCUGCGGUGAACUCCUCAAUGCAAUGAUAAACUACUUGUAUUAAACAACAGAAGAGGAAUUUUGAGGCAAUAAAUAAAUCAUCUCCCUGCAGAGCACAUUGGUAAACGUGAACAGGGGAAGCAAACAGCAGAGGCAUCUUGAGAGCUUUGGCCUUAUUCCAUCUCCUUUAUUGUCUCUGGUCACAGAAGUGGGUGUAUUUGGACGAAAGCAGACCUAUGGAGUGAGGGCAGUGUUUCUCAGCAAAUCCACUUGCAAGAAAGCUCAAAAGCAAUUACAGAAGGUAAACAAGAAAGGAUGUUGUAGAGCUUGUCCCUUUUUCUAGCUGGGUACUAAAUGCA